rnacentral:rRNA from 1 species
UACGUAGGGUGCAAGCGUUAAUCGGAAUUACUGGGCGUAAAGCGUGCGCAGGCGGUUUUGUAAGUCUGUCGUGAAAUCCCCGGGCUCAACCUGGGAAUUGCGAUGGAGACUGCAAGGCUAGAAUCUGGCAGAGGGGGGUAGAAUUCCACGUGUAGCAGUGAAAUGCGUAGAGAUGUGGAGGAACACCGAUGGCGAAGGCAGCCCCCUGGGUCAAGAUUGACGCUCAUGCACGAAAGCGUGGGGAGCAAACAGGAUUAGAUACCCUGGUAGUCCACGCCCUAAACGAUGUCUACUAGUUGUCGGGUUUUAAUUAACUUGGUAACGCAGCUAACGCGUGAAGUAGACCGCCUGGGGAGUACGGUCGCAAGAUUA